rnacentral:rRNA from 1 species
UCGAGCGCGGGAAGCAGGCAGAUCCUCUUCGGAGGUGACGCUUGUGGAACGAGCGGCGGACGGGUGAGUAACACGUGGGCAACCUGCCUGUAAGAUUGGGAUAACCCCGGGAAACCGGGGCUAAUACCGGAUAAUACUUUUCGUUGCAUAACGAGAAGUUGAAAGGCGGCUUUUAGCUGUCACUUACAGAUGGGCCCGCGGCGCAUUAGCUAGUUGGUAAGGUAACGGCUUACCAAGGCGACGAUGCGUAGCCGACCUGAGAGGGUGAUCGGCCACACUGGGACUGAGACACGGCCCAGACUCCUACGGGAGGCAGCAGUAGGGAAUCUUCCGCAAUGGACGAAAGUCUGACGGAGCAACGCCGCGUGAGUGAUGAAGGUUUUCGGAUCGUAAAACUCUGUUGUCAGGGAAGAACAAGUGCCGUUCAAAUAGGGCGGCACCUUGACGGUACCUGACCAGAAAGCCCCGGCUAACUACGUGCCAGCAGCCGCGGUAAUACGUAGGGGGCAAGCGUUGUCCGGAAUUAUUGGGCGUAAAGCGCGCGCAGGCGGUCCUUUAAGUCUGAUGUGAAAGCCCACGGCUUAACCGUGGAGGGCCAUUGGAAACUGGAGGACUUGAGUACAGAAGAGGAGAGUGGAAUUCCACGUGUAGCGGUGAAAUGCGUAGAGAUGUGGAGGAACACCAGUGGCGAAGGCGACUCUCUGGUCUGUAACUGACGCUGAGGUGCGAAAGCGUGGGGAGCGAACAGGAUUAGAUACCCUGGUAGUCCACGCCGUAAACGAUGAGUGCUAGGUGUUAGGGGGUUUCCGCCCCUUAGUGCUGAAGUUAACGCAUUAAGCACUCCGCCUGGGGAGUACGGCCGCAAGGCUGAAACUCAAAAGAAUUGACGGGGGCCCGCACAAGCGGUGGAGCAUGUGGUUAAUUCGAAGCACGCGAAANCCUUAC